rnacentral:rRNA from 1 species
GACGAACGCUGGCGGCGUGCUUAACACAUGCAAGUCGAACGGUAAGGCCCUUCGGGGUACACGAGUGGCGAACGGGUGAGUAACACGUGGGUGAUCUGCCCUGCACUUCGGGAUAAGCCUGGGAAACUGGGUCUAAUACCGGAUAGGACCACUGCCUGCAUGGGUGGGGGUGGAAAGCUUUUGCGGUGUGGGAUGGGCCCGGGGCCUAUCGGCUUGUUGGUGGGGUUAUGGCCUACCAAGGCGACGACGGGUAGCCGGCCUGGGAGGGGGACCGGCCACACUGGGACUGAGAUACGGCCCAGACGCCUACGGGAGGCAGCAGUGGGGAAUAUUGCACAAUGGGCGCAAGCCUGAUGCAGCGACGCCGCGUGAGGGAUGACGGCCUUCGGGUUGUAAACCUCUUUCAGCUAUGACGAAGCGCAAGUGACGGUAGUAGCAGAAGAAGGACCGGCCAACUACGUGCCAGCAGCCGCCGUAA